rnacentral:rRNA from 1 species
UACGUAGGUGGCAAGCGUUAUCCGGAUUUACUGGGUGUAAAGGGCGUGUAGGCGGGUCUGCAAGUCAGAUGUGAAAUCUCAUGGCUCAACCAUGGAACUGCAUUUGAAACUGUAGAUCUUGAGUGAUGGAGAGGCAGGCGGAAUUCCGUGUGUAGCGGUGAAAUGCGUAGAUAUACGGAGGAACACCAGUGGCGAAGGCGGCCUGCUGGACAUUAACUGACGCUGAGGCGCGAAAGCGUGGGGAGCAAACA